AGCAGCCGCGGUAAUUCCAGCUCCAAUAGCGUAUAUUAAAGUUGUUGCAGUUAAAAAGCUCGUAGUUGAAUUUCGGGAUCAAAUUGUCGGUCGUGCCUCGGUACGCACUGGUAUUAUUGGUUCCUACCUUCUGAAGAACCGUGAUGUCAUUAAUUUGGUGUCGUGGGGAAUCAGGACUGUUACUUUGAAAAAAUUAGAGUGUUUAAAGCAGGCUUACGCUUGAAUACAUUAGCAUGGAAUAAUGAAAUAGGACGUUUGAUUCUAUUUUGUUGGUUUCUAGGAUUGACGUAAUGAUUAAUAGGGAUAGUUGGGGGCAUUAGUAUUCAAUUGCCAGAGGUGAAAUUCUUGGAUUUAUUGAAGACUAACUACUGCGAAAGCAUUUGCCAAGGAUGUUUUCAUUAAUCAAGAACGAAAGUUAGGGGAUCGAAGACGAUCAGAUACCGUCGUAGUCUUAACCAUAAACUAUGCCGACUAGGGAUCGGAUGAUGUUAAUUUUUUAAUGACUCA
rnacentral:rRNA from 1 species